UGGCUGGCUUGCAACUGCUCAUUGGGCUGUUUCAAAAUAGACAAAGGAGUUAAAGUGAAGCCAAGAAAGUCGUUUACUCUUAAGGCUACUAAAGCAACAGGAAUAAGAAGACGUCACCUGUCCCAUCUUAAUAUACAUGGCCAAUGCAAGAAGAUGAGCAAGCUUGGAUGGGUUAUAUCUCAAGAAGUUAGUUUAUCCUUAUGAUGUUAGUUUUAUUUUGGUUAAGACUUAGGUAUACUUUCGAUGUUAAUUAGUAUAAUGAUUGGUAUGAUGUUAUGUAAACAUUGUUCAAAAUUUAUGAAAUAUUAAAGUUUUUCUAUCCAAU